UGUAGAAAUUGGCGAUCAAACCUGCCAGUUAGCUACUAUCGGCAUUUGAAUAGUGUGGGGAAUCGACAGAUCAGGGGCCUCUCUCUGCACGCCAUAACAGGAAUUCAAGAUCACACAACCAGCAGCUUCACUGGAGAAAAACUAUUUUACUGGCAACUCUUUUUAAAGCACCAUCAUUUCAAAUCAGGGCGCUCUUAAACUAUUGACAGGAGCUUUGACAACAAGACAGGAUGCCUCAUAAAGAGGGAAGACUUUAACUAGUGACACGCAGAUGUGUGAGUCCUUAAAUUGUAAGCGAGGAC
rnacentral:lncRNA from 1 species